UCUCAUUGUCAGGGUUACGACAGUAGUUGUUAACCAGGCCUCUGACAAACAACAGACAGUAAUAAUGAUAAACACAGGCAAACUAAACAAUAAAGGCAACAUGCCAUAGGUCCCUCUUUUAUGAAAAACAAAAUUUCUCAGUUACAGUAGCUCUUACUUUCCGGGAUAGUUGUCUGGUGUGCGGCUAUGUUGGUGUGGCGUCUGAGCCGACCAGCUCUGGCAUGUUUUGCCAGAUCCA